rnacentral:rRNA from 1 species
AUGGCGCAACCGAAAUGCUUUCAAAGACAUUCUGAUGCGAUCAUCCUAGGUAAUAUUUCUGUUCCACCAUUAGUGCCAAGUAAGAUACCUUCCAAACGAGACCUUGAUUGUGAGAAAAAUAUGCCAAAAUAUAUGGUGCCUGCUUUACGUCAAAGGAAGAUGUUGCACUCAACAAAUCAAAGAGGUAUAUUAGGCUCCAUGCCUUGCUCACGUACUAACCAGGGAAGUCAAAAAUCAGAUAUUUUAUUCAAGACUCCAAGGAUCACCACGGUUAUGAUUGGUGACAUGCCUAUUAAGCUAAUUUCUUUGGAUGAAGCGGAGCCUUGCUUUAGAAUGCCAUGCAGUACGAGACUCGUGCCGUCUAGAGUAGCACCAAAUUAUUUUGGUAGAGCUUAA